GUGGGGAAUCUUCCGCAAUGGACGAAAGUCUGACGGAGCAACGCCGCGUGAGUGAAGAAGGUUUUCGGAUCGUAAAGCUCUGUUGUUUGAGACGAAUGUGCAGACUUUGAAUAAGGGUUUGUAAUGACGGUAUUAAACGAGAAAGCCACGGCUAACUACGUGCCAGCAGCCGCGGUAAUACGUAGGUGGCAAGCGUUGUCCGGAAUUAUUGGGCGUAAAGGGAGCGCAGGUGGGAAUGUAAGUCAGUCUUAAAAGUGCGGGGCUCAACCCCGUGAGGGGAUUGAAACUACAUUUCUUGAGUGCAGGAGAGGAAAGUGGAAUUCCUAGUGUAGCGGUGAAAUGCGUAGAGAUUAGGAGGAACACCAGUGGCGAAGGCGACUUUCUGGACUGUAACUGACACUGAGGCUCGAAAGCCAGGGGAGCGAACGGGAUUAGAUACCCGAGUAGUCC
rnacentral:rRNA from 1 species